rnacentral:rRNA from 1 species
AACGAACGCUGGCGGCAGGCUUAACACAUGCAAGUCGAACGCCCCGCAAGGGGAGUGGCAGACGGGUGAGUAACGCGUGGGAAUCUACCUAGUUCUACGGAACAACACAGGGAAACUUGUGCUAAUACCGUAUACGCCCUACGGGGGAAAGAUUUAUCGGAAUUAGAUGAGCCCGCGUAAGAUUAGCUAGUUGGUGGGGUAAUGGCCUACCAAGGCGACGAUCUUUAGCUGGUCUGAGAGGAUGAUCAGCAACACUGGGACUGAGACACGGCCCAGACUCCUGCGGGAGGCAGCAGUGGGGAAUAUUGGAGAAUGGGCGAAAGCCUGAUCCAGCCAUGCCGCGUGAGUGAUGAAGGCCUUAGGGUUGUAAAGCUCUUUCAGUAGGGAAGAUAAUGACGGUACCUACAGAAGAAGCCCCGGCUAACUUCGUGCCAGCCGCCGCAGUAAGAC